ACAAUGAAAGUAGAAUGGAUGCCACAAUGCCGUAGUUGUACAUACACACAUGGCUCAUUUCCACGACGCGAAGAAAGCUUGCUGUAUUCUCCUCAUGUGGAAAGAAGGAUUCAGACUUUUAUUACAGAGGAUUUGUGACAAUUAUCCGAACAGAGCAGAAUACCAAGGAAUAUCCAGCUAUUUUUUUCCGCCUCGUUCGCCUCUGAAUGAUUUUGGAAGAUAAAGUGAGAAAAUUUAUUUAUGUAGUAAAGUGGCCGGUAUAAUGUAACGACACAAUACAGUCGAAGUGAUGUUAAAUAAACAUUUCAUAAUAGACGUUAAAUGAAGAUACAUAAGUUAUACAUUUUAAUUAUGCUACAGACGCAUGUACCAGUCAAUUAAUUUCGAAUUAGGGUUUUAUUAAUUUCGAAUUACCGAAAAUUAUUUUACACUAGACAUUUGUUUUAUCUCAAAACAAUUAAAUAUCUUCUCGUAGUUGUGAAAAAAUGCAUGUUGUGAAAAAAAUGUUUGAACAAAAAUUGUUUGGUAUGUAAGAAUACAUUAUGUGGUGUAACAAAUUUUAUUUUUUCAAUUGGAAUGAUGUAUUCUGUUUACAUAUUCUUAUAAGCUUCUGCAUCAUAGUACUAUAUGUCUCUACAAUAAUAUUAAAGGAAUGCAAGAGAAGUAAGGAAAAUGCUUGCACAUGAACAUGUCGAUGACUUUUUAUUCCUAUCCUACAGCCCCUUAAAGAUAUUUUGGAGGCAUACUUUGGAGUCAACAUAGCAGUUUUUCAUGAAUUGCAGACAGUAUUUUUUAACUAAUGAUACCAGUUAAUGGCAUGCCAAAACAAAUCACUCUGUUAGAAUGAGAGGAGAUCAUGAGGAAGUUAAAUGCUGGUGUUAGCCCAAGGAUACUUGUACAAGGAUAUGGUAUUAGCGAAAAGUCCAUUCGGAGGUAUAAGACUUUGAGCAACAAACCUUAAAGGUACUCAUAAAAUUCAAGAAAUAAGAAUGGGAUGAGACAUCGUUUAACUCCUUACAAGGAUAUAUAGAUGCCAUUGUACAAUUGGUUCAUGCAAGAAAAACUGAUACAGGAUUCUAUAUCAAAUCGCCUUAUACAAGAGAAGACGACGGAAAUAUGCAAAGAAAUUGGAGGUCCUUCGACCUUUAAAGCAUUCAACGGAUGGCUCUGUCGGUUUAAACAGAGAUAUGACAUACCUCUUAAAAAAGAAAUAGUCCCAUACAUAAAGGAAGCUGCAGCAAAUAAUUUUAUACGCGAGUUUGCGCAAAUAAUGCACAACGAAAACAUAAACUAACUACUAUUAGUAGACAAUUUUAAAAGGCAUAAACUAACUGAGUAAGAAAUCGAUGAUGGCUAUUUUAAAAUCGUAUUUAUACCACCAUUGACAUCGUCGUUAAUUUUACCGAUGGAUGCAAGGAAUUAUUUCGCCAUCAAUUACUUUGCCGUAUAGCGCACUACAAUGAAGGUAUAACGCAGUUUUACGCAGAUUACGAUAUUAAGGAUUGCAUGUAUAUGAUCAGCGAUGCAUGGAACAAUAUCACAACGAAAAAUAUUUAUAAUUCAUGGUCAAAAGUUCUGAAUCAUACGGAUUUAUUCACAAUCAUUAAAGAAGAUCCAGAUUCUGAAGUACAUGAAUUAAAUCUAUUUACAUGUAUUAAAGAAGAUCUAGAUUCUGAAAUAUAUAUAUUAAACAUUCCUGAGGAGGUGGUCAAAUGGAUCUCGGAAUGUGCAGAUAAUGGAGUAAUAGAAGAGGAUGCAUCGAUCGAUGAAGAGAUCGUCACGCUGCCUUCUACUUUUCUGAUGGAAAAUGAGGAAAUUGAUUACCUGUUGUAUAAUUAAGAAAAAUUAUAUGUGUAGUUGAUUUUGAAAUGAGCAUCCACGUAAAAGCUUUAAAUGAUUACUGUAAAUUUUUAUAAAUGUGUGAUAUUCAAUUUCGAAAUUAUUUUUAUUAUUAUUAUAUGUAUAAUAAUUUAUUAAUAGUACUUUGGAGUGUAGAAUAUACAUUAUUUUUAUAACAAUAACUAUUCAUAAGAAUAGAGAACAAGACUGCUAUUAUUGCAUUAAUAAAGAUUAUUAUUAUUUAUGUUAACAAGGAGUGCUUGUAAAACAAAAAUUAUGAAACUUAAAAGUAAUGUAGUCAAAUAUUACUUUGAUUAUUAAAUAGAUAUUAUUAAAAUA